CCCAUUACCACCUCAGGAUCUCUGAUGACAUAUAAUGUAUGCUGUCAAGCUGAGUGGAAAACUGGCUAGCACACAAGACCAUGGUCAUGAUGUUCCAUGCACAGCUCCUCAGUCUUCUCCUCUGGAUCUCUGAUUCUAGGGAAGAAACAACUGUCACCCAGUCUCCAGCGUUCCUGUCCAUGGCCAUUGGAGAAAAAGUCACCAUCACCUGCAGAACCAGUACAGACAUUGAUGAUGAUAUGAACUGGUACCAGCAGAAGCCAGGGCAAGCUCCUAGGCUCCUUAUUUCAGAAGGCAAUACCAUUAAUUCUGGAGUCCCAUCCCGGUUCAUGAGCAAUGGCUAUGGAACAGAUUUUACCCUGAAAAUUGAUGGCAUGCAGUCAGAUGAUGUUGCAAAUUACUUCUGUCAGCAAAGUGAUAAUUUUCCUCUCACAGUGAUAUAUCCUUUUACAGAAACCUGCAGAUGUUGUCUGUCACACUGUGUCAGUUGCUGCGGAAGCUCUUCAGUGUGCAAGCUUGGCAGGCUUUCAUGUUUAUUCCCUCAAGCACUUGCAUUCUUACUUCCUUUUUCUGUUUCUCUAGUCUCCACAGUCCCCUAUUUUGUUCUUGACAUACUUCACUUGAAAGAGACCGAGAUAGCCUUUAUAUCAUUUUUCAGAAAAUCCAGUUAACCUGAUGUACUUCAG